rnacentral:rRNA from 1 species
GGGUAGUUUGACUGGGGCGGUCUCCUCCUAAAGAGUAACGGAGGAGCACGAAGGUUGGCUAAUCCUGGUCGGACAUCAGGAGGUUAGUGCAAUGGCAUAAGCCAGCUUGACUGCGAGCGUGACGGCGCGAGCAGGUGCGAAAGCAGGUCAUAGUGAUCCGGUGGUUCUGAAUGGAAGGGCCAUCGCUCAACGGAUAAAAGGUACUCCGGGGAUAACAGGCUGAUACCGCCCAAGAGUUCAUAUCGACGGCGGUGUUUGGCACCUCGAUGUCGGCUCAUCACAUCCUGGGGCUGAAGUAGGUCCCAAGGGUAUGGCUGUUCGCCAUUUAAAGUGGUACGCGAGCUGGGUUUAGAACGUCGUGAGACAGUUCGGUCCCUAUCUGCCGUGGGCGCUGGAGAACUGAGGGGGGCUGCUCCUAGUACGAGAGGACCGGAGUGGACGCAUCACUGGUGUUCGGGUUGUCAUGCCAAUGGCACUGCCCGGUAGCUAAAUGCGGAAGAGAUAAGUGCUGAAAGCAUCUAAGCACGAAACUUGCCCCGAGAUGAGUUCUCCCUGAGACUUUAAGUCUCCUGAAGGAACGUUGAAGACGACGACGUUGAUAGGCCGGGUGUGUAAGCGCAGCGAUGCGUUGAGCUAA